rnacentral:misc_RNA from 1 species
GCAAACUUGGUCAUUUAGAGGAAGUAAAAGUCGUAACAAGGUUUCCGUAGGUGAACCUGCGGAAGGAUCAUUAUUGAGCUUAUGGGAAAGUUUUCUUUCCAGCUUGUCCUUUUUUGGCGGCAAGCUUGGGAGGUAACUUUUCCUUCUCUCUUCACCCAUUUGCCAUUAUUUCUUAAGUUGCUUUGGCAGGUGAAAGGUCACUUUUCGGUCCUUUUGCCUGCCAAGGGAAACCUUUAAACCCUUUUUAUCCAAUAAUCGGGAUGACUUUUGUCUGAUUUAUUGUGACUUGGAAUAAGUUCAUAAAACUUUCAACAACGGAUCUCUUGGUUCUGGCAUCGAUGAAGAACGCAGC